AAAGUCGUAACAAGGUUUCCGUAGGUGAACCUGCGGAAGGAUCAUUAAAGAUUCGGGCUUCGGCCUACCCUCUUCAGCUGUGCGCUUCGGCUGCACGCUGUCGAAACUCUCACACCUGUGCACCUUUUCGGUUGCGGCGUUCGCGUCGCUUCCGCUUUUACGUUUUACAACAGUCCAGAAUGUAACAAACCAUAAACGAAACAACUUUCAACAAUGGAUCUCUUGGCUCUC
rnacentral:misc_RNA from 1 species